rnacentral:rRNA from 1 species
GACGAACGCUGGCGGCGUGCUUAACACAUGCAAGUCGAACGGAAAGGCCUUUUCGGAGGUACUCGAGUGGCGAACGGGUGAGUAACACGUGGGUGAUCUGCCCUGCACUCUGGGAUAAGCCUGGGAAACUGGGUCUAAUACCGGAUAGGACCGCACUUUAGUGUGUGUGGUGGAAAGUUUUUUCGGUGUAGGAUGAGCCCGCGGCCUAUCAGCUUGUUGGUGGGGUAAUGGCCUACCAAGGCGGCGACGGGUAGCCGGACUGAGAGGUUGGUCGGCCACAUUGGGACUGAGAUACGGCCCAGACUCCUACGGGAGGCAGCAGUGGGAAUAUUGCACAAUGGGCGCAAGCCUGAUGCAGCGACGCCGCGUGGGGAUGACGGCUUCGGGUUGUAAACUCCUUUCGCCAGGGCGAAGCGUUUUGUGACGGUACCUGGAGAAGAAGCACCGGCUAACUACGUGCCAGCCGCCGCGGUAA